CCAGUCUGUGUCUUGUCUUUUCAUUAUCUUAACAAUGUGUAUCACUGAGAAAUUUACCUCCUACUUGAAAUGAAAGACAAGAACCCUCAGGACCCGAAGAUGUAUGCUCAGCAGUAUGGGAAGUAUGUACUCAAAGUUCCUCUAAGUGUGUGAGAGGAUGAAGAGCAUAAACCACUGCAGAAUCCUUUCCCCUUGAAGAGCUAAGUUUCUCCCAGGAGACCCCGUCAGGCAACAGGCAUAUGGUUCAGACUCCUCCAUCUUAUGGCCUGUUCCCCCGCUGCAGACCUUCACUAAGCACUGGCUCUGCACCAGGAGUGUGCGGGGCCCUGGCAUGCAGGGGCCC
rnacentral:lncRNA from 1 species